rnacentral:rRNA from 1 species
UUCGCAAUGCCCGAAAGGGUGACGAAGCGACGCCGCGUGCGGGAAGAAGGCCUUCGGGUUGUAAACCGCUGUCGGGAGUUAGGAAAUGCAAGGAUGUUAAUAGCGUCUUUGCUUGACUAAGGCUCCGGAGGAAGCCACGGCUAACUCUGUGCCAGCAGCCGCAGUAAUACAGAGGUGGCAAGCGUUGUUCGGAAUUAUUGGGCGUAAAGAGCACGUAGGCGGCUAUGCAAGUCGGUUGUGAAAGCCUUCCGCUCAACGGAAGAACGGCAUCCGAUACUGCAUGGCUCGAGUGCGGGAGGGGAGAGUGGAACUUCUGGUGGAGCGGUGAAAUGCGUAGAUAUCAGAAGGAACGUCGGCGGCGAAAGCGACUCUCUGGCCUAUUACUGACACUGAGUGUGCGAAAGUUAGGGGAGCAAACGGGAUUAGAUACCCCGGUAGUCCUAACUGUAAACGAUGGGCACUAAGUAGAGGGGUUUU